UACGGAGGGUGCAAGCGUUAUCCGGAUUCACUGGGGUUAAAGGGUGCGUAGGUGGGCAGGUAAGUCAGUGGUGAAAUCUCCGGGCUUAACCCGGAAACUGCCAUUGAUACUAUCUGUCUUGAAUACCGUGGAGGUGAGCGGAAUAUGUCAUGUAGCGGUGAAAUGCUUAGAUAUGACAUAGAACACCAAUUGCGAAGGCAGCUCACUACACGAAUAUUGACACUGAGGUGCGAAAGCGUGGGGAGCAAACAGG
rnacentral:rRNA from 1 species